rnacentral:misc_RNA from 1 species
GGUUGGAUCAUUAAUAAAAUUUAAUUAAAGCGUUUUCUUGAUGGUUGUGGUUUAUCCCAACCUUAAAGAAGCGUUUUACCCCAAUUUUGUGAACUUGUAAUUUUGAUUGUUUGGGUAAGGGUUGACCUUCACUUUAUUGAAGAGGUCUGGAAGUUGAGGCUAGCAAUAGUCUUAGGCCUUAUCCACGUUAAUAAAAUAUGCCUUAUUUUGAAAGAACUUGUCUUUACCGUUUAUUAUACAAAAAAUAACAAACAACUUUUGACAACGGAUCUCUAGGCUCUCGCAACGAUGAAGAACGCAGCGAAAUGCGAUAAGUAAUGUGAAUUGCAGAAUUCCGUGAAUCAUUAAAUCUUUGAACGCACCUUGCGCUCCUUGGUAUUCCGAAGAGCAUGUCUGUUUGAGAAUCAGUUUAAACCUUUUAAUGAAAAGCCUUGCCUAACAGCUAAGGUCUUUUGUUAGACUAUGAGACCAUCACCCACUGUAAGGAGGGUGAGGACUUUGAAUUUAAUUUGUUCCAACCUCUCAACUAGCUUGAGGAUUAGGUUGGUAAGGUCUUUUUUGGGUAAAAGCAUGAUCAAUUGGGCGUAAGAAACCCAUUUCAUUGUUUUAACCUUGUUAUAAGCCUUGCCGUUUCUUUUGCAAAAAAGAAGAACUUAGUCCAAGAACUGUAAGAAAGGAACGAGGCUUUUAACAGCCAACACCAAUAAAAGAUGAAGAAUCUUUCAAACACUUGAUCUCAAAUCAGACAAGACUACCCGCUGAACUUAAGCAUAUCAAUAAGCGGAGGAAAAGAAACUAACAAGGAUUCCCCUAGUAACGGCGAGUGAAGCGGGAAUAGCUCAAAUUUGAAAUCUCAUUGUUUUACAGUGCGAAUUGUAGUUUAUAGAAGUGUUUUCGGGUAAAGGCCAAGGUCAAGUCCUUUGGGAUAAGGCGUCAUAGAAGGUGAGAAUCCUGUAUGCGCUUUGGCUCUUAACCUAUGUGAUACACUUUCAAAGAGUCGGGUUGUUUGGGAAUGCAGCCCAAAAUGGGUGGUAAAUACCAUCUAAAGCUAAAUAUUGGCGAGAGACCGAUAGCGAACAAGUACCGUGAGGGAAAGAUGAAAAGAACUUUGAAAAGAGAGUUAAAAGUACGUGAAAUUGUCAAAAGGGAAACACUUGAAACCAGUCUUGCCUGUUUGAAUCCCAACUAACCUAACGGUUAGCAUAUGUUUCAUUCGGCAGGUCAAAAUCAGUUUUCUUUGUUGUAAACAGCUUGAAGAAGGUGGCCUUCGGGUGUUAUAGCUUCAAGUCUUAUGCAGUGAAGAGGAUUGAGGGUCGCAGUGCAGCCUUGGGGUCUGGAUCGCUAGGUUUGACGUUUACCAAGACUACUUGUAGACUUGGCCGAUCGCGCAAGCCUAAUCGGUUCAAUCAACCCACAACUUGUACUUUGGAUUUUGACAAAAUGGUUUUAAAUGACCCGUCUUGAAACACGGACCAAGGAGUCUAACACAUAUGCGAGUAUUUGGGUGGAAAACCCAGAAUGCGCAAUGAAAGUAUUAAGGUGGGAUUCCUGUUAAAGGGAUGCACCAUCGACCGGUCUGGAUGUUUACUGAUAGAUCUGAGUAAGAGCAUAUUUGUUAGGACCCGAAAGAUGGUGAACUAUGCCUGAAUAGGGCGAAGCCAGAGGAAACUCUGGUGGAGGCUCGUAGCGAUUCUGACGUGCAAAUCGAUCGUCAAAUUUGGGUAUAGGGGCGAAAGACUAAUCGAACCAUCUAGUAGCUGGUUCCCUCC